GUUCAUCCACAGUGCUUACACGGCUGCGGAGUUGGCUGGCGAGGCUUGACUCGCUCUGCCAGCUCGUCUUCAUAGUCUUCCGAAAGGAAGGCCGAGAGGAAAACAGAUUCAAACUCGCUCCAGGUACUAAUGGAAGAUCAAGCAACUUCCCACCAAUCACGUGCCGUGCCAUACAGGACCGUGCGGAAGGUGGCCAAAACAUCAAGGUCAUCCAAGGGCUUGUUUUUCAGGUGUCAAGCGACGUUUAAUGGGUACAGGG